GUUAUCCUAAUCAAAGUGUUUUGCAGCGGAAAACGUGUGAGAUAUACAUAUGAAGAUGUAUACUCAAGGUUACAUUUCUUGAAAUGUCAAAGGAACACCCGCUCAACAUCAUUCCAUUCCAUCAACUGCUCAACCUGCACAUUUAGAAAUACAUGCAGGGCUGAGUAUAAAAAUACUCAGUGGGCAUAGCCGAAAAUACAACAUGCAUACAUAUAUAAAUUGAACUGCCAUAACAGUAACACACAGGGGUUUUCUUAAAUGACCUGCGCUUACUAAAAUAUUUCUUUCAUUUUCAUAAAGUCGAUCGGCCGAUCAUUUUCCUUCAUAUGAUCCAUAUCUGUUCCUUUCUGUCACGCGCCGGGAAGGAGGCCUCCUUACCACGGACGCCAAGACCGGUCGCAAGCGACUCGCGGUCUCCAUGAGUGUACACGUUAACCCUAGCUAGCGACCUUUGUCUAGCAUAGGAUCCCAAUUGGAUUUCCUUUAAAGUUGGCGAACCAACACAGAUAGGAUACAUAUAAAAACAUAAACAUUUUUGGCAGUCAAUCAUUUCAUAAACAUUUCAUUUCAUUUCAUAAACAUUUUCAUUUUCAUUUCAUAAGAGUCAUUUAUCAUUUGGGCAUAAUAAUAAACUGAAAUUAACAGUUAAAAUCAUCUCAUGCAUAUAUUCGUAUAAGAGGCCUACGACAUGCAGGGGAUCUCUAUAUACGUAUAGUAAAAGUAAUGCCCACCUGGUUAGGCAAAGCCUGAAGAUCAUAAUCACAUAUAAACCUGUCUUGGGAAAGCAGCGCUAAUCCCCCUGGUCACAAAGCCUACAAGAAAUUCUAUUUUCAAUAGGUCUCCUUAAAUCUAAUCUUAAGUCAUGGUGUAGUGCUUAACAUUCUAUGAUUCACUUAGCCGGGUUUUCAAAAUUUAAUAAAUAAAUAAUUGAAAACAUUUCUCUUGAGUUAAGAACACCAACAAUAUUCUUACUCAUCUUUCUUUAAUAAUUGGAAUUAUAAAUAAAACCAAUUAAAUACUUUUAUUGCAAAAUAAACGCAAUUUCAUGUCAUGCUUAGCAUAUAGUAAGUAAUUUACUUAAAAUAUGCACAUAAUAAUAAUUUAAUAUUAUUAUGAAAAUUAGUCUUUAAAAAUAAUUCAUCAAACUAAUUAAUAGUUUAAUUUAUUAAAAAUAAGAAAAUCCAAUUUAAUAAAACAAUAAUAGGGCCCAUCUUUUAAAUGACUAAAUUAAGGCCCAGCACAAUUAUUAAAACUAAGGGCCAAGUACUUAUAAUAUAACUAAAAAUAUCGGCCCAAUAAAUAAAAUAAAGUCGGCCCAAUGAUUCGGCCCAACACUCCCAAGCCCAAAUGUCCCAACCCUACCCUUUUCCUCCCUUAUUUCUCCCCUCUCACAAACACACGCACACACUCACACAUCUCUCAAUCGGCGCCCCUCCCUUCUUCUUCGGCGAAGCGCCGCCUCCGUCACCGGCGAGAGCGCAGCCCCUCCGGAACCCUCGACUCUCAUCCCCGUCCUCUCUUUUUCGCUUUUCGCUCACUCCCACAUACUCAGCGCCGCAGCAGCAGCCGCCGGUAAAGCGACAGCCGCCGUUGCACAGCUCCCUCUCCCUCGCUCGUCUCUCGCCUAGCCCGCUCGGAAUGACAGCAGAGCCGUCGAGCCCUCUCCCUAAAUCCCCAGAACUCGAGCUAUAACCCCUGCCUCCUGCAACCUCCGGCGAGCAGCGGCCAAAACCGCCACCACCGUCUCUCUCAUGCUCAAGCUUGACCGGCGAUUACCAGUAGCUCCACGCCACCGGCAUCCACCUACCUCUUCUCCGAACCUGCCCUCUCAGAAGCCACCCUCACAGAACUCCGGCAACUGCGGCAGUGCCACGGCCGCCACCCUCUUCCCCCGACUCGAUUCAACCGUCAACAACAGCAUCAACAGAAAGCCAUCCACCGCCUCCUCAUCCCUCUCUCUCUCUUUACCAGAACAUCACCCUCGACUCUCCCUCGUCCCUGCCCUUGGCCGGACAGCAGUGGCGGAGCCGCCGUGCCCUGGCCUCUCCCUCAUUCUCUCGACUUUCUCAGCUAGCAACCAAGCAACCCGACUCGACACAGCAAGUAUGGAAAUAAGGAGAUUCAAAGCUACAAACUUUUUCUCAAAUUAUUUUUUUAUUACUCGAAUGAUGUAUAAAUGUAUGCUUGUGUCUCUGUGCUUUAAUUCGAUAUGCAUAAAAGAUAUGCACUGACGAUGAGAUGAAUGAAUGUAUGCUUAUGCCUCCUUGCUUUUGGCUCAAUUAAGAACUACAAUAAAAUGGAAUAAGGAUUUAGAAGUAAAACCUUUAGAAAGGUUUCGGCUGGGUCGGUUUGCUUGAAUUUGUGUGGUAGCUGAAAUUGAUUCACAUAUGGUAUAUUCAUUGAGGUGGAGAGUUUGUGUUGUAAGAAAUAAAUUAUGAAAUUAUGAUUGCAGUUCUUACCUCUGCACUUGUUCGUUGGGUUUCCUUGUGAGAGUGAAAUAUGGCAAAUUGUGUGGGAGAUUGAGUAGAAGUGGAAGGGGAUGGGUGAAGUAUAUCAGUGGGUGUGCUGCAGUAGGCAUGCUUUUUGCAGGGAGUUGGUGGUGGGAGUGGGUAGUGUCUUAGUGAUGUUAACUUUGCAAAAAGGAGGGAGUAGGUGGGUGUGGGAGGGAGUAGGUGAGUAGUAGGUGGGUGUGUGUUAGGUGAGGGAGAGAAGUAGGUGAGAAUAAAAUAAAAUAAAAUAAAAA
rnacentral:lncRNA from 1 species